GGGGCUGACUUGGAUUUCGACAGAUUUCUUGUCGCACAGAUAGCAUGCCAAGUGCUGCUUGUAAAACAGCAACAAAAAUAACUGUAAACAACGCAGAUUACGCUCCAGCUUACGCUAAAGUCGCGUGAGUUAAUCUCCUUUUGGAGCUGGACUGAUUGAAAUUUCUAGCGUUUUAAUCACUCCAUAACCUUAAGCUAGACGCUUUUAAAAGGUGGUUCGCCUUUUAAACUAAGAAACAAGAACUCUUGAAACUACCUCAAGGUUUUAGAAAGUUGGACCAGAGCUAGUUUUAAGGCUAAAAAACUAACCAAUUUUCUAAGCAUUGUAGAAGUUUGUGUUUAGGACAAGAUUUUUGGACUGGGGUUCGAUUCCCCACAGCUCCACCA
rnacentral:tmRNA from 1 species